UACGUAGGGGGCAAGCGUUGUCCGGAUUUAUUGGGCGUAAAGAGCUCGUAGGUGGUUCGGUAAGUCGGAUGUGAAAUCUCCAGGCUCAACCUGGAGGGGUCAUUCGAUACUGCCGUGACUAGAGGUCGGUAGGGGAGUGUGGAAUUCCUGGUGGAGCGGUGAAAUGCGCAGAUAUCAGGAGGAACACCAAUAGCGAAGGCAGCUCGCUGGGACGGUACUGACGCUAAGGCGCGAAAGCGUGGGGAGCGAACAGG
rnacentral:rRNA from 1 species